rnacentral:rRNA from 1 species
GAUGAACGCUGGCGGCGUGCCUAAUACAUGCAAGUCGAGCGAACGGACGAGAAGUUUGCUUCUCUGAUGUUAGCGGCGGACGGGUGAGUAACACGUGGAUAACCUACCUAUAAGACUGGGAUAACUUCGGGAAACCGGAGCUAAUACCGGAUAAUAUUUUGAACCGCAUGGUUCAAAAGUGAAAGACGGUCUUGCUGUCACUUAUAGAUGGAUCCGCGCUGCAUUAGCUAGUUGGUAAGGUAACGGCUUACCAAGGCAACGAUGCAUAGCCGACCUGAGAGGGUGAUCGGCCACACUGGAACUGAGACACGGUCCAGACUCCUACGGGAGGCAGCAGUAGGGAAUCUUCCGCAAUGGGCGAAAGCCUGACGGAGCAACGCCGCGUGAGUGAUGAAGGUCUUCGGAUCGUAAAACUCUGUUAUUAGGGAAGAACAUAUGUGUAAGUAACUGUGCACAUCUUGACGGUACCUAAUCAGAAAGCCACGGCUAACUACGUGCCAGCAGCCGCGGUAAUACGUAGGUGGCAAGCGUUAUCCGGAAUUAUUGGGCGUAAAGCGCGCGUAGGCGGUUUUUUAAGUCUGAUGUGAAAGCCCGCGGCUCAACCGUGGAGGGUCAUUGGAAACUGGAAAACUUGAGUGCAGAAGAGGAAAGUGGAAUUCCAUGUGUAGCGGUGAAAUGCGCAGAGAUAUGGAGGAACACCAGUGGCGAAGGCGACUUUCUGGUCUGUAACUGACGCUGAUGUGCGAAAGCGUGGGGAUCAAACAGGAUUAGAUACCCUGGUAGUCCACGCCGUAAACGAUGAGUGCUAAGUGUUAGGGGGUUUCCGCCCCUUAGUGCUGCAGCUAACGCAUUAAGCACUCCGCCUGGGGAGUACGACCGCAAGGUUGAAACUCAAAGGAAUUGACGGGGACCCGCACAAGCGGUGGAGCAUGUGGUUUAAUUCGAAGCAACGCGAAGAACCUUACCAAAUCUUGACAUCCUUUGACAACUCUAGAGAUAGAGCUUUCCCCUUCGGGGGACAAAGUGACAGGUGGUGCAUGGUUGUCGUCAGCUCGUGUCGUGAGAUGUUGGGUUAAGUCCCGCAACGAGCGCAACCCUUAAGCUUAGUUGCCAUCAUUAAGUUGGGCACUCUAAGUUGACUGCCGGUGACAAACCGGAGGAAGGUGGGGAUGACGUCAAAUCAUCAUGCCCCUUAUGAUUUGGGCUACACACGUGCUACAAUGGACAAUACAAAGGGCAGCGAAACCGUGAGGUCAAGCAAAUCCCAUAAAGUUGUUCUCAGUUCGGAUUGUAGUCUGCAACUCGACUACAUGAAGCUGGAAUCGCUAGUAAUCGUAGAUCAGCAUGCUACGGUGAAUACGUUCCCGGGUCU